rnacentral:rRNA from 1 species
UGGGUAACCUGCCUCAAAGAGGGGAAUAGCCUCCCGAAAGGGAGAUUAAUACCGCAUAAUAUGUUUAAGUCGCAUGACUUUAACAUCAAAGGAUUUUCUUUUAAGAAAUUCCACUUUGUGAUGGACCCGCGGCGCAUUAGCUAGUUGGUGAGGUAACGGCUCACCAAGGCAACGAUGCGUUGCCGACCUGAGAGUGUGAUCGGCCACAUUGGAACUGAGACACGGUCCAGACUCUACGGGAG